UUCGAGUAGGAAAAUGAACUUACUAGAAGAAAAUGGCUUUAUUGAGAGGCCCAGACAAUUUCUGUUAUUACUAUUUUUUUUUUUUUUGAGACANNNNNNNNNNNNNNNNNNNNNNNNNNNNNNNNNNAUGGUGCAAUCUCAGCUCACUGCAACCUCCGCCUCCUGGGAUCAAGCGAUUCUCCUGCCUCAGCCUCCUGAGUAGCUGGGAUUACAGGCACCUGCCACUGUGCCUAAUUUUGUAUUUUUAGUAGAGACGGGGUUUCACCAUCUUGGUCAGACUGGUCUCGAGCUCCUGACCUCGUGAUCCUCCUGCCUCGGCCUCCCAAGGUGCUGGAUUACAGGCAUGAGCCACUGUGCCUGGCGACAAUUUCUAAAAAUAAUUAAAAUACACAUCGCAUUUUUGCUAUAGAUGUCCUCCAUGAUCUAGCUGCUGCCUGCAUCUCUUACGUCAUCCCUUCCCACUCUCCCCUUGCUCCCUGUGCUCUACCCACACAGCCUUUCUGUCUUUCUGUCACUCACUCCAGCAUGCCAUACGUUUCCUACCUCUGUUUCUUUUUCCAUUUGUUUGCACUUGCUCUUCUGAGAGAUAGCAGAGUCAAGUGGUCAGUAGCAUAAGCUCUGGAUCCAGACUCCCUGCUCUGCCACUUUUAAGCUUUGUGACCGUGGUCGAGUUACCUAACUUCUCUCUGCUUCAGUUUCUUAUUUGUA
rnacentral:lncRNA from 1 species